rnacentral:rRNA from 1 species
AUUGAACGCUGGCGGCAUGCCUUACACAUGCAAGUCGAACUGCAGCACGGGUGCUUGCACCUGGUGGCGAGUGGCGAACGGGUGAGUAAUACAUCGGAACGUACCUUAUCGUGGGGGAUAACGCAGCGAAAGCUGUGCUAAUACCGCAUACGCCCUGAGGGGGAAAGCGGGGGAUCGCAAGACCUCGCGCGAUUAGAGCGGCCGAUGCCUGAUUAGCUUGUUGGUGGGGUAAAAGCCCACCAAGGCGACGAUCAGUAGCUGGUCUGAGAGGAGGAUAAGCCACACUGGGACUGAGACACGGCCCAGACUCCUACGGGAGGCAGCAGUGGGGAAUUUUGGACAAUGGGGGCAACCCUGAUCCAGCAAUGCCGCGUGAGUGAAGAAGGCCUUCGGGUUGUAAAGCUCUUUUGUCAGGGAAGAAACACCGGCUCUAACACAGUCUGGGAAUGACGGUACCUGAAGAAUAAGCACCGGCUAACUACGUGCCAGCAGCCGCCGUAA